rnacentral:tRNA from 1 species
UCCCCAGUGGCUCAGCAGUAAAGAAUCUGCCUGCAAUGCAGGAGUCAGAGGAGACCUGGGUUCGAUCCCUGGCUUGGGAC